rnacentral:rRNA from 1 species
AGAUCCAUUUUCUGCCACCGAAUACAUUAGCAUGGGAUAAUGGAAUAGGACCCUGUCCUCCUAUUUUCAGUUGGUUUUGGCAGCGCGAGGACUAGGGUAAUGAUUAAUAGGGAUAGUUGGGGGCAUUAAUAUUUAAUUGUCAGAGGUGAAAUUCUUGGAUUUAUGAAAGAUUAACUUCUGCGAAAGCAUCUGCCAAGGAUGUUUUCAUUAAUCAAGAACGAAAGUUAGGGGAUCGAAGACGAUCAGAUACCGUCGUAGUCUUAACCAUAAACGAUGCCGACCAGCGAUUAGGAGACGUUGAAUACAAAACACCACCAUCGGUUGCGGUCGUCCUUGGCGUCUCGGUUUCGGCCGGGGCGCGGGGAUGGCUUAGCCCGGUGGCACCGGUGAAUGACUCCCCUAGCAGCUUGUGAGAA